GAGUAAUGCUUGGGAACAUGCCUUUAGGUGGGGGACAACCAUUGGAAACGAUGGCUAAUACCGCAUAAUGUCUACGGACCAAAGGGGGCUUCGGCUCUCGCCUUUAGAUUGGCCCAAGUGGGAUUAGCUAGUUGGUGAGGUAAUGGCUCACCAAGGCGACGAUCCCUAGCUGGUUUGAGAGGAUGAUCAGCCACACUGGAACUGAGACACGGUCCAGACUCCUACGGGAGGCAGCAGUGGGGAAUAUUGCACAAUGGGCGCAAGCCUGAUGCAGCCAUGCCGCGUGUGUGAAGAAGGCCUUCGGGUUGUAAAGCACUUUCAGUAAGGAGGAAAGGUUAGUAGUUAAUACCUGCUAGCUGUGACGUUACUUACAGAAGAAGCACCGGCUAACUCCGUGCCAGCAGCCGCGGUAAUACGGAGGGUGCGAGCGUUAAUCGGAAUUACUGGGCGUAAAGCGUACGCAGGCGGUUUGUUAAGCGAGAUGUGAAAGCCCCGGGCUCAACCUGGGAACUGCAUUUCGAACUGGCAAACUAGAGUGUGAUAGAGGGUGGUAGAAUUUCAGGUGUAGCGGUGAAAUGCGUAGAGAUCUGAAGGAAUACCGAUGGCGAAGGCAGCCACCUGGGUCAACACUGACGCUCAUGUACGAAAGCGUGGGGAGCAAACGGGAUUAGAUACCCCGGUAGUCCACGC
rnacentral:rRNA from 1 species